AUUAAACUAAAACCAGUAACUACAAACUGUGUCUUAGUGCAAAAAGCAAACAAUGACAUUUAUCCCUGCUGCUGCAUCUGAGUAAUAUCUUUGUACACAUGCUUUGUUUUAUCUGUACAUCAUCACAUUUUAAAAUAUAUUUUUUAAGUGGGAAUAAAAAAUACAUUAAAAAAUAAGGGAAAUUAUUGUCUGCGGUAGUGAACUGAACAAUUACAGUGUAUAUGAGACACUUGUUGAUGGUCUAAGAUAUAGGCAGAAAUUUAGCCAUUUCAUGGUUUUCACCAUCUAUCGAUUGAGAAAUCAAUAGAUGUAACCUGAUCUCUGGCCUUAAAAUAAAAAAAGGAAGGAGUUUUGGAAUUAAGGUUGGAAGGAGGAUUGAAGAAGUGAUGGAAGGAAGGUUGGGAUUAGGGUUGGGAUGAGAGUUGAAAGGGGUGGAAUUAAGGUUGGAACAAGGGUUGAAAUUAGAGUUUGAAGGAGAGUUGAUAUUAGGUAAGUUGUAGAAUAUGUUAAUACCUCAAAACAUGUUCAUAAUGUCCUGAAUGAGCAGAAUAUGGUAAAGGGUUGAAAUAGCACAAAGUAUGCAGAUUUAAGAUGUAAAAAAGUGCACAGAAAAAAGUGGAAAAACUCACUUUUUAUUAUAAUGAUAUUUAUAAUAAUGAUG